AGUUACCACGUUGUCAGAAUGUACCAAUGUGGUGAUGACAGAGCUGGUAAGAACAACUUGGCUGCUGGACUUGAGUCAGAUUUGACUUGAAAUUAUGGUCUGCUAGCCAAGUGUGCAAUGUUGCACAUUCAGCACAUGGGGUUGUCAAAGUCAGAUGGUCACAUAAAUGGUGGAUGAUUUUGCCUUCUCAAGAAUUCAGACACUGGCUGCAUGAGUGCACCUUGCAGUAUGACUGUUUAUGCUAACCACUCACUGUACUGUACAGUAUUUUUUUUUAAACAAGAAUAAGGGGUCUGUUGUGCAGAGGGGAAAACCAACUCCAACUCCAGAGCUGAGAAAUCCAGCUAACUUAGCAAACUCAAAGGGUGUGAUAUGGCAUGGGGAAAAUUGUUGGUAUAAUGUUGAUCGGCAAGGCAGCGGAGGAUACAGAAACAGCUAUCUUACACAGAAGCAUAGACUUGUUGGUCAGCUAGAUAGCAGGAGAUGUGGAAUACAGGGAGAGACAACUACAAGUGAUGAACUGACUCGUAUGGAGAAUGAGUGGAAAGUGCCACAUAAUGAGCAGAGAGAAAAACAAUAAAAGUGCAAGUUUGUAGGAAACAUAUCAAACAGCACAGUGAUGGACAGCAAUGCCAACAAGGGAUGGCUGAAUCCAAGCUAACAGAUGUCACAAUUCCAUAUCAAUCUACAAAAAAAAAAAAAGUGCUAGUAAUACAUAUAAAUAAUAAUAAUAAAAAAUACACUGACUAAGGCAGAAGAGAUGAGAGGAAGCUUUGGAAGACAAGAUACUUGUAGCUCCGUUCUUGUUAAAUAAAGUUCAUGUAUCUUAUAGUGUUCAACUGUCCUUGUGAUCCUGGUGAUGGAAACAAUGGCACGGCAAUGGCAAAUGAUGCAGCCAAAUGCUGUUGCCAAGAAUUCCAACCUGACAGACAUUGUGACAGUCAAAAAAUCUGCAGCUUCUCACACACACAAAAAAGUAUUCACAUAUACUCUAGUGACCAUAAUGAGAACAGUAUGUGAGUAUCACUGUCAGUGCCAUGCUUCUCAGCACAAAAUAAC
ensembl:lncRNA